AAUCAACGCUGGCGGCGUGCCUCAGACAUGCAAGUCGAACGAUUAAACUUGCCUUCGGGCAAGAUAUAAAGUGGCGCACGGGUGAGUAACACGUAAGUAAUCUACCUUCGAGUGGGGAAUAACGUCGGGAAACCGACGCUAAUACCGCAUAAUGCAGCGGCACCUAAUGGUGACAGUUGUUAAAGGAGCAAUUCGCUUGAAGAGGAGCUUGCGGCAGAUUAGCUAGUUGGUAAGGUAAUGGCUUACCAAGGCUACGAUCUGUAACCGGUCUAAGAGGACGGUCGGUCACACUGACACUGAAUAACGGGUCAGACUCCUACGGGAGGCAGCAGUCGGG
rnacentral:rRNA from 1 species